rnacentral:tRNA from 15 species
GUGCCCAUAGCUCAGCUGGAUAGAGCAUUAGAUUGCGGUUCUGAAGGUCAGAGGUUCAAAUCCUCUUGGGCACG